AGCGAACGCUGGCGGCGUGCCUAACACAUGCAAGUCGAACGGGAAAGGGGGCAACCCCGAGUAAAGUGGCGUACGGGUGAGUAACGCGUAGGUAAUCUACCCUGGAGUCUGGAAUAACCUGCGGAAAGGCGGGCUAAUACUGGAUGGAGCGAUGGAACUCGUGAUUGGGAUUUUCGGGAAAGGGAGCCUGAGGGGGCCCUUGCUUCAGGUGGAGCCGGCGUCUCAUUAGCUAGUUGGUGGGGUAACGGCCUACCAAGGCAUUGAUGGGUAGCUGGUCUGAGAGGAUGAUCAGCCACACUGGAACUGAAACACGGUCCAGACUCCUACGGGAGGCAGCAGUGGGGAAUCUUGCGCAAUGGACGGAAGUCUGACGCAGCCACGCCGCGUGAGUGAAGAAGGCCUUCGGGUUGUAAAGCUCUGUCGGGCGGGACGAAAAGCCGGUUGGUUAAUAGCCGAUUGGUCUGUCGGUACCGCUAAAGGAAGCACCGGCUAACUCCGUGCCAGCCGCCGCCGUAAAAC
rnacentral:rRNA from 1 species